rnacentral:rRNA from 1 species
UCUGCCCAGUCGUGGGGAUACGUAGGGAAACUUACGCUAAUACCGCAUGCGCCCUUCGGGGGAAAGCCGGGGACCUUCGGGCCUGGCGCGAUUGGAUGAGCCCAUGUCGGAUUAGCUAGUUGGCGGGGUAAUGGCCCACCAAGGCGACGAUCCGUAGCUGGUCUGAGAGGAUGAUCAGCCACACUGGAACCUGACGACACGGUCCAGACUCCUACGGGAGGCAGCAGUAGGGAAUAUUGGACAAUGGGCGCAAGCCUGAUCCAGCCAUGCCGCGUGAGUGAAGAAGGCCCUCGGGUUGUAAAGCUCUUUUGUCCGGAAAGAAAAGCGCCGGGUUAAUACCCUGGUGUCCUGACGGUACCGGAAGAAUAAGCACCGGCUAACUUCGUG